rnacentral:rRNA from 1 species
ACUCAAAUGAAUAGACGGGCACCCGCACAAGCGGUGGAGCAUGCUGUUUAAUUCGAAGAUACGCGAAGAACCUUACCUGGACUUGACAUCCCGUUGACCGUCCUAGAGAUAGGACUUUCUCUUCGGAGACAAUGGAGACAGGUGGUGCAUGGUUGUCGUCAGCUCGUGUCGUGAGAUGUUCGGUUAAGUCCGAUAACGAGCGCAACCCUUACCCUUAAUUGCUAACAUUAAGUUGAGAACCUUAAGGGGACCGCCGGCGAUAAGUCGGAGGAAGAUGGGGAUGAGGUCAAAUCAUCAUGCCCCUUACGUCCAGGGCUACAGGCGUGCUACAAUGGCUGGUAUAAAAAGACGCAAGACCGUGAGGUGGAGCAAAUCUCUAAAGCCAGUCCCAGUUCGGAUUGGAGUCUGCAACUCGACUCCAUGAAGUUGGAAUCGCUAGUAAUCGUGAAUCAGAAUGUCACGGUGAAUACGUUCCCGGGUGUUGUACACACCGCCCGU